rnacentral:rRNA from 1 species
CACGUAGGGCGCAAGCGUUGUCCGGAAUUAUUGGGCGUAAAGAGCUCGUAGGCGGUCUGUUGCGUCCGCUGUGAAAACUCGGGGCUUAACCCCGAGCCUGCAGUGGAUACGGGCAGACUAGAGGUAGGUAGGGGAGAAUGGAAUUCCCGGUGUAGCGGUGAAAUGCGCAGAUAUCGGGAGGAACACCGGUGGCGAAAGCGGCGCACUGGACCACAUCUGACGCUGAGGCGCGAAAGCUAGGGGAGCAAACAGG